rnacentral:rRNA from 1 species
AGACCCGAAACCCGGUGAUCUAGCCAUGGGCAGGUUGAAGGUUGGGUAACACUAACUGGAGGACCGAACCGACUAAUGUUGAAAAAUUAGCGGAUGACCUGUGGCUGGGGGUGAAAGGCCAAUCAAACCGGGAGAUAGCUGGUUCUCCCCGAAAGCUAUUUAGGUAGCGCCUCGUGAAUUCAUCUCCGGGGGUAGAGCACUGUUUCGGCUAGGGGGCCAUCCCGGCUUACCAACCCGAUGCAAACUGCGAAUACCGGAGAAUGUUAUCACGGGAGACACACGGCGGGUGCUAACGUCCGUCGUGAAGAGGGAAACAACCCAGACCGCCAGCUAAGGUCCCAAAGUCAUGGUUAAGUGGGAAACGAUGUGGGAAGGCCCAGACAGCCAGGAUGUUGGCUUAGAAGCAGCCAUCAUUUAAAGAAAGCGUAAUAGCUCACUGGUCGAGUCGGCCUGCGCGGAAGAUGUAACGGGGCUAAACCAUGCACCGAAGCUGCGGCAGCGACACUGUGUGUUGUUGGGUAGGGGAGCGUUCUGUAAGCCUGUGAAGGUGUGUCGUGAGGCAUGCUGGAGGUAUCAGAAGUGCGAAUGCUGACAUAAGUAACGAUAAAGCGGGUGAAAAGCCCGCUCGCCGGAAGACCAAGGGUUCCUGUCCAACGUUAAUCGGGGCAGGGUGAGUCGACCCCUAAGGCGAGGCCGAAAGGCGUAGUCGAUGGGAAACGGGUUAAUAUUCCCGUACUUGGUGUUACUGCGAAGGGGGGACGGAGAAGGCUAUGUUGGCCGGGCGACGGUUGUCCCGGUUUAAGCGUGUAGGCUGGUUUUCCAGGCAAAUCCGGAAAAUCAAGGCUGAGGCGUGACGACGAGGCACUACGGUGCUGAAGCAACAAAUGCCCUGCUUCCAGGAAAAGCCUCUAAGCAUCAGGUAACACGAAAUCGUACCCCAAACCGACACAGGUGGUCAGGUAGAGAAUACCAAGGCGCUUGAGAGAACUCGGGUGAAGGAACUAGGCAAAAUGGUGCCGUAACUUCGGGAGAAGGCACGCUGAUAUGUAGGUGAAGCGGUUUACCCGUGGAGCUGAAAUCAGUCGAAGAUACCAGCUGGCUGCAACUGUUUAUUAAAAACACAGCACUGUGCAAACACGAAAGUGGACGUAUACGGUGUGACGCCUGCCCGGUGCCGGAAGGUUAAUUGAUGGGGUCAGCGCAAGCGAAGCUCCUGAUCGAAGCCCCGGUAAACGGCGGCCGUAACUAUAACGGUCCUAAGGUAGCGAAAUUCCUUGUCGGGUAAGUUCCGACCUGCACGAAUGGCGUAAUGAUGGCCAGGCUGUCUCCACCCGAGACUCAGUGAAAUUGAACUCGCUGUGAAGAUGCAGUGUACCCGCGGCAAGACGGAAAGACCCCGUGAACCUUUACUAUAGCUUGACACUGAACAUUGAGCCUUGAUGUGUAG